UGUCCGUUUUUCUAUUUUAUUAUAUUUAAUAGUAAUUACCUUAAAUAUGCAGUUUUAAUUAAAAUUUCCUUAUUCGAGGACUAAAAAUGUUGACGUCCUUUCUGUUAAACAGUAGUUUGGAUUAUGCAGAAGAGAGACUUUUUAUUUUUUUUUUAUGAGCGAACAGAUAUUAAUUAAGCUUGGUAUUGUUAUAAAGUGUAUAAAUAUGUAUUUACUUGUAGGUGUUUGUUUUUGUUAUCUGAGAAGGAUUCGUAAGACUUCACGACCAAUUUAUCCUGCGUAUGGGUAUUACAUAUUUUUUUUUAUUUAAUUAAGUUCACAUGUAACAUUUCUUUGUACUAAUUCUUUUAUUCAAAUGUCUGUGUAUUUGAAAGGUUACUCUGCCAACGCAGAUCUUAUUGAUACAUUUUUUAUCAAUAUAAACUGACAGUAGAUUAACAUUUAUAACAGUAGAGGUUGGCAACUACACCAUGUUACUAUGAUUUCUGUCAAAAGCUUUAUUUAUUCGUGUUUAUUCGUUUAUUUCUUUGACUCAUCGCAUUGUCUUUUAACGAUGAUGUGCUUGAUUUGCGAAUGUGUAGCCAUUAUAGUGUUACAGUUCUUACGUAUAAUAAGUAAAUAGGUUUUAUCGUUACUGUGAUCUAUAAUAUUUAUCGAAAAGAAAAGUUUGAAUGUGCUAGUGUGUAAUUUACGCAUAUUUAAGCUUGGAGCGAUGGUAAUAGGACAAUUAAUUAUGGUAACUGGAGCCGAGAUUUUGUGGAAAAUUUUCGCCGUAGAAGAAUCAUAUUUUAUCAACAUUGCGCUAUGAGCAGGUGAACAGCUCUUUUCGUUGUGUGCAGAAAAAUUCGGGAUGAGAUGGAUGUAGAUCGCUCCACAUGAAGCUGUGAAGUAGGUCUUCAAUUUAUAUAUUUUUAUCUUUUUAUUAGAUUAUAAAAUUUUAAAUGUCCAUUGAUUUCUUAGUUGGUGUAGUAUGGAACAGUUUGUAAUAUUAAAGAAAUACGACCGCUUUACUUUUUAAUGUUUCAGUUUAUUUAGAGUUUUACACUAUAUUUGUUUGUCAAGGUUACUAAAUACUCUUGAUAAAGUCGAAAAAAAUUGUAGAAACAUUAAAAAGCAAGGUGGUCUUAUUUCAUUUAAAUUUUAAAUGUACAUAGUUAUAUAUGAGUAAUUAGGUAAUUUGUAGAUAGCAAAGGGGGUGCGGUUUAUUUUUAACUACUUAAAAUAAUUUUAAAGCGGGUUGUUUCUUAUUUACAAAAAAUAUGCGUAAUAUUUAUGAUGGCUGGAUCUUUUUUUAACAUAAUUGCUUACUUACUAGCUAACAGAAAUAAACUAGCUAUGUAUGAUGAAAGUGUUGAGCACUAUGUCCAUUAAAAACGAAUAAGUUAAAAAUAUAGCAUUGUUUGAAAUACUGUAUUGAAAGUAUAAAUACAAAUUGCAUAAAACUUA